rnacentral:lncRNA from 1 species
UUCUUAACUUUCUAAAGAUAUAAGAAGAUUCGCCUUUCAAGCUUCUUUAAAAAAAAUAUAACCAUCUUUUACCUCAUAAAUUGAAUCUUUGUACAAUGAGCUUUUUAACUUGUACCUUGACAUUUUGUAAGGUAAAUCAUUUUCUAAUCUCGCUAUAGUUCACAAAUGAUAUUAUACCAAAUUUCAUAUGUCAGGACCACAAUGUAGUCACAAAUUCGAGAAAUAAAAUGUAGUCAUAAAUUUGAGAACUUGGGCAUGCAUUAGUUGAGUUCGGAAGCACAUCGGGACUCAGGGCUUCUGUUCGGUGGUGGUAUGGUUACGAAUAAAUUUAGGAUUUGUCUCUAAUCGGCGGUUCUGAUGAUGGCGGCGACGGCGGCACGAAAUAAGGUCUCCCAUUCUCGCUCUAUUUUCGAUAGUGCUUCUUUGAAUCAUCGAGAGGCGUGUGGAAUAUGAAAAAAAAGACCCAACACAUCGAGCACCCCCCUUCGACCACCCCGCCUCCCAGCCAUCCUCGGGACAGAACGACACCCGCUCGCAUGACACGCAUGGGAAACAUAUUGUCCUACCAGCGAGCCCCAUUGCUUUUCUUCCUCCCACUCACACUUCACUUCACUCACUCGACUCGUCUCC